GUCCUAGCCGUAAACGAUGGUCACUAGGUGUUGGGGGUAUCGACCCCCCCAGUGCCGGAGCUAACGCAUUAAGUGACCCGCCUGGGGAGUACGGCCGCAAGGCUGAAACUCAAAGGAAUUGACGGGGGCCCGCACAAGCGGUGGAGCAUGUGGCUCAAUUCGAGGCUACGCGAAGAACCUUACCACGGCUUGACAUCUGCGGAAUCCGCCGGAAACGGUGGAGUGCCCUUCGGGGAGCCGCAAGACAGGUGGUGCAUGGCUGUCGU
rnacentral:rRNA from 1 species